CGUAGGGUGCAAGCGUUAAUCGGAAUUACUGGGCGUAAAGCGUGCGCAGGCGGUUUUAUAAGUCUGAUGUGAAAUCCCCGGGCUCAACCUGGGAACUGCAUUGGAGACUGUAAGGCUAGAGUGUGUCAGAGGGGGGUAGAAUUCCACGUGUAGCAGUGAAAUGCGUAGAUAUGUGGAGGAAUACCGAUGGCGAAGGCAGCCCCCUGGGAUAACACUGACGCUCAUGCACGAAAGCGUGGGGAGCAAACAGGAUUAGAUACCCUGGUAGUCCACGCCCUAAACGAUGUCUACUAGUUGUCGGGUCUUAAUUGACUUGGUAACGCAGCUAACGCGUGAAGUAGACCGCCUGGGGGACGUACGGUCGCAAAGAUUAA
rnacentral:rRNA from 1 species